UUUUUCAACUUUCCUUCCACUUGAGAUCGCCAUCUCUUUGUCUAGUUAUGUGCUCUUCCCAUGGUAAUAAUUGGUUAAAGAGUAUUAGUGAAUCAGUAUUAAGGUCUCUUUUGUGAAUGUAAUUUUGCUUUAUGCUCUGUUUGGCUUCUCGGAAAAUGUGGGGGGAAGAUUGGAUAAUCUAAUAUUUAUAUGUUGGAGUUUGUGUGUGUGUUUAUAUGUUAAUUUUCCUCCACUGUAAUCAAAUAUCAAGUGUUUUUAUGUUGUAAGGAAUUACUGUGUUCUCAAUGUCUAAUUUGGAAAACAUUUGGUUUGAGAAUUUAGAGAAACAACUAACAACAAUUUGACCAGGUUCUUUUGUUAGUAUAAUAUUAUCCAAAGCUCUACAAAUAAUUCUGGGGAAUUAGUUCUGUCAAUAGAAAUAAUAUUUAAUUAUAGUUUGAAUUUAGGUUGUUGGGCUUUUCGAUUUGUAUGGUGGGGUGUGGAUGCAGAAGUGUUGACCAUGGAGGAUUGAAGAUGGGAAUAAAAUUUUGGAUUUAGCUGUUGCCAUUUGUGUAAACAAUGCAGAACCGUUUGCCUGUGUUUUCUUGUGGAAAAAAAAGAAAAGAAACAAAAACUGUGUGCAGAGGUGCAGAAGACAACAUGUGCGUCAGCAAUGGGCUGUUAUUGAGAUUUCUUUGUCAGGUCUACCUAAUUAUUUAAUGUCCCUGAUUUGCAUUCUUGCACUAUUAUUGGUUGAAAGGUUAGAGAAGUAGCAAAAGUUUCUUUGAUAGGUGUUGGACUAUGAAUUUCAAUUUUAAGAGAGAGAAAUUCUGAAGGAAUUGCUUCCAGAUUGGUUCUCAAGUGUGCAGAAGUUGCUUUUCAUAAGAUAUGCAAUAUUGGGAAUUUGAAAUUGUACAUGAGUGAGUAGCCAAGUACUUCUGUUGUUUCACAAUUUACUCAUCUGAUAUUGUGCUAGGGCAAAUUCAACUGCUAGAGAAUUGCACUUAUUGUUGCCUAGGACGCUCAACCUGUUGCAUGCACCCAAAUUCUGUUAUACUAAUCUUGUUUUGUUAUAGUCCAAUUUUAUCUUUACUGUUGCUAUUGAUUUCUAGAGAUCUUUCUUGCAUUUUCCAGUUUAAUUAUAAGUGUUUUGUGGAAUACUCGUAUUAUAUUAUUUUUGGUCUAGCUUUUUUAGUGCCCUUUUCUUCCCGUCUCCUCUACCCAACAACCCCCCCACCCCCCCUAACCCCACAACCCGCGGCCUCCCUCCGAGCCCCUUCUUUUUUUUCUUCUUCCCUUCCUGUCCCUCUCUUUGCGAAUAAGAGCAAAUAUGUUAUUCAUCUAUUUUCUGUUUGUAUUAUUGCCUUACUUCUACAUUUUGAUAUAGGAGGUCAAAAAAGAUGUCUUCUGAUACUGCGAAAGAAAAUGCAUCUGUAGUUGACUCCUCAGUAACUGAAUGGAAACAUGACAUGGGGAAUUUUGAUGAUCCAGCUCAAGAAAAGAAGAAGAAAAUUUGAGGAUUUGUAGAGAAGGGAAAUUUGAGAGAAAGUCUUUGGAGAGGUGCAGACUGCAGGGAAACUGGACAAAAUAUCGAUGUGGAGUUGUCUUUGCACAACAAAAGAAAAAGCAGAUUAUCUGCUUUAUGAGAGUCCAAUCUACAAAGGUGAUGAGGAUAUUUAUCCUCAUAGGGCUGAAAAAGCAGGUCAUGAUAAUGAUCGGAUUGGAAAUUCAUCUCUAAACAAAAAGGGUCGAUUGUAUAAUACAAGAUAUUUCAUCAUUAAGAGUUUGAACCAUCAUAAUAUUCAACUCUCAGUUGAGAAAGGAAUAUGGGCUACUCAAGUCAUGAAUGAACCAAUUUUGGAAGAGGCCUUUCAUAAUUCUGAUAAAGUCAUUCUAAUAUUUAGUGUCAACAUGAGUGGUUUCUUCCAAGGUUAUGCCCAAAUGAUGUCUGCUGUUGGGUGGAGGCGUGACAACAUCUGGAGCAAAGGAUGUGGUAAAAUUAAUCCUUGGGGCUGCAGCUUUAAGGUUAAAUGGCUGCGGUUAAAUGACUUGCCUUUCCAAAAGACACUUCAUCUCAAGAAUCCAUUGAAUGACUUCAAACCUGUUAAAAUUAGUAGAGACUGCCAGGAAUUACCGGAAGAUGUAGGAGAAGCUCUUUGUGGGCUGAUUGAUGGGGAGAGUGAUAUUGAUGGCAUGCUGAAAAGGGAUGAGCUUCCUUUGAAAAGGCCUUGUAUAGUACCUCUAUGUUCACUAGGGGAUGGAGAAUAUAAUAUGCCUUCGCUACACAUGCCAUGGGUUAGGACAUCUAUGCCUUAUCAUUCCUUUCUCUACCAACAUCAUGCUGAAGCAAGUAGAUUUCAUUUGGCUCAUCAGGGAUCUAGUGGUGUUAAUAUGCCUCUUCCAUCUGGUGCAUCAAAAAUGUCAAGGAUGAAACAUUCUCAACUUAAUGGAAUUCUUGCAAAUUUACAAUUAAAGGGUGAUGUGCAUUGUCAAAAUGAUGCUUGGGGCUUGUCAGCAGAAAGUCCUCUGGCUAGUACUCUGACUGAAGAUGAUUUUCUUGAAAUGGUAUAUUGGGGGGGAGGGGGGUGGUCCUAUGUUAGCUUUUAUUUAUUUAUUUUUUAUUUGGUGAUUAAUAUGCACCAUGUAGUUUUCUAAUUGCUGAAUAGUUGUAUCUUAAGUUGAUUUUUCCUGUAAUAAUCCAAGCUUGGAAUGAAGACCAUCUAAUAAUUGGACAAUUAUUUUUUUCCUAUGCGUGGAAUUUUUGAAAUGAAUUAUGUAGUAUAUUGAUAAACAUCGGAGAACAUUAUGAUUAAUUUUGGAACAAUGUGCUCUUGAAAGCCUUUGUAGAGCAUGGUGUCUUCAUCCCAUUUGUGUCAUCAGUUAUGCACAAUAUCCUGCGCCUGAUUAUCUAUGUUCUCUUUCUUAUUUUUGUAGUUCGUGAACUAUUCAGUUUCCAUCAGUAAGAGAAAAUCCUUCAAUGUUUCAUUAGCCUAGAUCAUAAGUAGCACUUCCUUUUUAAUUCUCCUUAAGAAAAGUUACAUAUUAAUCUUAAUCCUUCUUCCUCAACGAGGAUGAAGAAAUGUAGCAGGCUGCAGGGCUGUUGAUUGAGCCAACCUGGAAGAUUACUAGUUGACUAGAUGUUGAUUCUUCAACAAAUUUUUAGUUUUUGAUUGCUUUGUUCAAAUAUUGACUGCUAGAUGCCUAGGAAUGGUACCUGCUGUGGUAUUUAUUAUUCUUGACUCUCAAAUAUGCAUCCUUUAAACAUUAAGUUGUUGUUAUGUACAAAAUGUGUUAUGAUAUUGUUGUUUGUUGUUAAUUGACUUGCUUCUGAUUUAUUUUCAGACAUAUGAAGAGUACCUGGAAGUGCAUAGCAGAAGUGUCAAACAAUUGAAUCUCCCUGUUAGUAUACUUACCUGAUGAUAUUCUAGUGGGUUAGUUUAAUGUAUAUGUUUUUUAUUGGUAUGAUACAUGAUGGUUCAAUUAUGUUAAAAAUUUUAUGUUUGUUGCAUAUGAUCAUUAUGGUUCAGUAGAUGCAGUGCUAUUUCAAAUCUGUCCUCAUGUUCUCUUCUUUGGGUUUUCUCUUUUCAGAUUGAUGAUGAUAUGAAAAUUCAUUGUUACGUAUAUGGCUUGUUAGAAAUACAGUUGCUUGGACCUGUCUAAUUAACCCUAGACACAAUACUGGUGUCGAUUUCAUGUGCCUUUGCAAGAAAAUGUCAAAACUUAUUUCUUAGUUCAAAAGUGUAACCAGAUACUUGGCAGGGUUUUGUUGUUUCUAUUUCCUGCAAGGUGAAAUUACUUUUUUCUUCUUUUUAUCUUUCUGCCCUAACUGGAGAUUACAGAAUUAAAACAAUAGGUUCAGGAUUAUAGUCAAUAUGAGAUUAUCAUGCCAAAUUGCUAAUUUGCCGGACAUUUGUAUGCUAUAACACCAGAAUUGAUCUACUUCUGUCACUGGAAUGUGACUGGUAAUGAUUUUGAAGUAUUUUCUUUCUUCCCUAAACCCUUUCCUAUCUUAUCUUUUCAGUCAACUUUUAAUUAUCUAAGGUCUGGAUGAAUUGAGUGGCAUGUAUUGCAGAGUCUGCUUAUGCUGGUGGCACUGGGCCAUGUUUUUUAUGGGAACAACUGCUGAAAAAUUGUUGUGUCAUGGGUUUACUACUUACAGAAAUAUAAACCUGAUGAAGAUGAUAGAAGUUUUUCAUGUAUUUUUUCAGUUUUCUGAGACAUUGCUGUGUGAGCUAAACCUUCAACUAUCUUUUUAAAAUAAUAAUUCUACUUCUGAGCCAUUUAACUCUUGACAGGUAGUUGGAUCAUCUCGGGCAACACUGGAGCCAUCAAGAAGACAUGAUGAUGAUUCGUAAGUUUAUUUCAGUCUAUGUCUCUGUAUUCAAAUUGCGUUUCUGCAAGGCUUCACUGAUUUAGUGAUGUUCUCUGCAGAAACUCAAGCUUUGUAAAUGAAAAGUGUCCCUCACGGAAGAGGACACAUCAUUCAUCCGAUAAAUGAUCAAAUACCUCACACAAGCAGCUAGUGUUGGCCCUUUUGCUGAUGAUAAUACGAUUUUCUGGUGGGAGGUUUUCGAAUUUGCCAUUCAAGGCAACCGCUCGACUGUUCUAAUCCCAGAAACUGGGAAUCAUUAUAUUGUUGUGUUAUACACUUUCAUGUACCGGCAAUUGAUGAUUCGAUUGCAUAGUAGGUUUUACUAGGGUAUGUUACCAAUCUGUACAGAAAUUAAAUUUGCAACAUGCCCCCUGUUGUCAGUUUUCUUCACCCAGAAUCUCCCUCCUCCACACACCACAAACCCACCCCCCCUCCCGGCAUUUUCUAGAGGGUGAAAUUAGGUAGCACUGAGCUAGAUUUAGAUGACUAAAAUGCGAAGAUUUUGGAACGGGCUCAACAUCAUCUACUGAUUUAAGGAUGGCAGAGCAUGAUGUAAAAUUUGUAACUUGAUCUUCUCAGAUGCUUUGAGUUGGAACUAACAGCGGUGAAUAAUAGAUGCGUUUAUGGAAGUAUAAACAAAGGGUGGUUCAUAUUUGAUUGUUCGUUGAUUCUAGUGGAGAAGUCUUUUUUCUAUUCAAUAAAAAAAAGAAAAAAACUUACGAUUGUAUAAAAAAGAAAAAAAAAACCCUUCUUAAUAAGG
rnacentral:misc_RNA from 1 species